GCCUGGGUAGCUCAGUGAUUGAGCAUCUGCCUUCAGCUCAGGUCAUGACCCCAAGGUCCUGGGUUCGAGUCCUACUUCAGGCU
rnacentral:tRNA from 1 species